UUUAUGGAGAGUUUGAUCCUGGCUCAGGAUGAACGCUGGCGGCGUGCCUAAUACAUGCAAGUCGAGCGAACAGAUAAGGAGCUUGCUCCUUUGACGUUAGCGGCGGACGGGUGAGUAACACGUGGGUAACCUACCUAUAAGACUGGAAUAACUCCGGGAAACCGGGGCUAAUGCCGGAUAACAUUUAGAACCGCAUGGUUCUAAAGUGAAAGAUGGUUUUGCUAUCACUUAUAGAUGGACCCGC
rnacentral:rRNA from 1 species